CACUUAGGGCCACCAGAACAACAGGUGAAGGGAACUUUUAGCUCAUCUGGGAGGUGCAUACAAAGGUUCGUCACCUGGCACUUUAAACAUCCCUCUCAGUCUAGGGUAAUUGGGUUUCUCAGACACAGAAAAGGUGCUGUUGACUGUGGGGUGACACCUGGAGGAACUUCACCCAUAACUACACACUUGAUAUGAAGCAUGAUCCAUACCUGGUCACUUUCCAAGGAACCAAGAUUAAGGGAAGCCAGCCUACCAAAGCUGAGACCUUUUCUACUGGAGAGCCUCUAUCCUAUGUUCCACCUGGCUCCGUGUGAUGCAUAGGAAGCCUUAUCUUGUUGGCAUCUAGGGCACUGGCAAGGAGAAGUAUCCUGGAAGUGUCCAUGGAACUAUGGGACCCCUGACACCAUCUUUGGACCCAGUGACUUGAGUGUCUAGCACUUGGAUGACUCGUUCCUGGGGCCCAUUGAGAAAGGCAUAGUCAAGACUGAAAGAAGCCAGGCAGCAACUGCUCCACCCCUGUGGAGACAGCACCACUGAGCCGCUCCUGAGCAGGUCCAGGUCAUCUUGAACCAGUGCAGGAUGAAACACAGGCAUGCAAGAGUGAAUUAUCAAACUGGCCUGGGACUAAGGAGAUUUCUUAAAAUCCAGGUGGCAAUGAAACAUGCUUAAGCCUGGCAGCAGUCCAGGCAUAGACAGAGUUAUACUCCCAGAGCUGGAGAGGCAAAGGAAGGAGAUUCAUGAGCUGCAGCACCUGACCUACACAGUGAGACUUGAAAACAGACUUGCAACGUCUAAAAAGUACUAUAGUUUGACCACAUAAACAGGUGACCUUAUUCUGCCAUAAAUGCAAUUUCAAUCUACUACCUAUCAUUGUUUUAUUUAUUCAUUUGCUUUUAGUAUUUGGGUCUUUUAAAUCAAAUUUGUUGAGGCAUAAUUUUCAUGAUGUAAAUUCCAUAAAUAACCACGUUCAUUCACAUACUAUAGGCAUAACCGACACCACCAAGGCAAAGAACAGCUCCAACAAUUAUUUUUUGCAGUAGUGCUGAGAAUUAAAUCUAGGGCCAGGGCCCAGCAUGUGCCAGGCAAGUGUGCGCCCAGCAAGCUGCACAUCCUUAGUUGUUGGUUUUUUUUUUUUUUUUUUUUUUUUUUUUUAAAUAUUGGGAUAAUGUCUUACAAAGUUACAUAGGUCAGCUCUGAACUCUUGUAACCCAGGCAGGCCUGAACUCUUGGUAACGCCUGCCUCACACUCCCAAGUAUCUGGGAUUAUAGGACUGAAUACCAGGCCAAGCCUCUAAUGCUCCUUUUCAAAUGAAUAAGUUUGUUUUGUUAUUCCUUUUCUUUGGACUCAAACUUAAGGGUUAUAUAAUCUGGGUUUGUAUGUAUAUAUAGUUUGUGUAGUACCUUUGGGUAUAUGUUGUAUGUGGUGUUUAUAUAAUAUAGUUCUUUCAAAAGACUUUUAUUUAAAUUGGUUUAAGAAUAAAGGAAUGCUCAUAUAAAAUCAGCUAAAAUUCCUUUUAGUUCAUGGGACUCAAAACUUUGACAAAUAAGGUAAUUUUAAUUUGCUCAUAAAAGAAAAUAGAAAUGUCUCCAUCAUGUUAACUGUAUUUUGCCUAUGUUUACAUUCCUGUCUGUUAGGUGUUUAAGAUACAAUGUCUAUUACUUUCUCUGUUUCAAAUAUCGCUUCCUGAGUCAUCAUUAAAAUAUAGUUAUUUUAUUUUAUGAUGAAUAAAAUUUUGUCUAAAUUCA